CAGCCGCCGCGGGAAUACGAGGGGGGCAAGCGUUGUUCGGAAUUAUUGGGCGUAAAGGGUGCGUAGGCGGUCUGAUAAGUCUGAUGUGAUAUCGAUGGGCUCAACCCAUCGUCUGCAUUAGAAACUGUCGGGCUUGAGUGUGGGAGAGGUGAGUGGAAUUUCCGGUGUAGCGGUGAAAUGCGUAGAUAUCGGAAGGAACACCUGUGGCGAAAGCGGCUCACUGGACCAUUACUGACGCUGAGGCACGAAAGCGUGGGGAGCAAACAGGAUUAGAUACCCCGGUAGUCCCUGUCUCUUAUAC
rnacentral:rRNA from 1 species